UACGGAGGGGGCUAGCGUUGUUCGGAAUUACUGGGCGUAAAGCGCACGUAGGCGGCUUUGCAAGUCAGAGGUGAAAGCCCGGGGGCUCAACCCCGGAAUUGCCUUUGAGACUGCAUCGCUAGAAUUGUGGAGAGGUAAGUGGAAUUCCGAGUGUAGAGGUGAAAUUCGUAGAUAUUCGGAAGAACACCAGUGGCGAAGGCGACUUACUGGACACAUAUUGACGCUGAGGUGCGAAAGCGGUGGGGAGCAA
rnacentral:rRNA from 1 species